UUUUUUUGCAGCGUGCGAGGCACAACCUCAAUGCCCAUCGGAUGGCUAAGAUAAGGGGCUGAGAGGAGGUUGAUUGCUGGCCAUUGAGAGCAGGUUUAGGGGAUUGGGAGAUGGUACAAAAAGGAAAGAAGACAUCAGCCGCAAGGAGAGCUUCAUCGUGGGGAGAGUUUUGCAGCUAACGGGAGCGGAAAGAAAAAAUGGGAGCAAAAC
rnacentral:lncRNA from 1 species